AUUUAUAAUACGAACACGUAAAAUUUAUCAUGGGCUCAUUUUCAUGAACCGAUUUGUUUAGCUUUCAAGCUCAUAUACGUAGAUAGAUUGACUGGGGGAAAAAAGAUCAGUUGGAUUUUGUAAUCAUAGCCACAUGUUUUCAUGAAAAUCUAUUAAAAAAUUCGAUAACAAGUAUAAGUUUGAAGUUGGACUCUCUUAUUUUGUAAAACAAGUUUAAUGAAAUCAAGUGACUGCUUAAUAAUUAAUUAUUAAGUUAAUUUAAUUUUUUUUAAUAAAUGAUCUACGUUCAUAGAUUUAAAGAAUUAUUAAACGGAAGUCAGCUUGUGAUGAGUCCAACGAAAUGAAAUAGGAUGUUGUAGUUCAAAGACAAGUCAUUUUCUUUUCGUUUAUAUUUGUUUUUUAAUUUUAGGCUGUAAUUACAAAGGAAAAAGGAAAGGAAAAAAGGUAAUGAAUCUAACAGAUUAAAUUUAAUUUGUUAGAUACCUUCUAGUGUGUUGAAUAAUUAAUUAUCUAUUAGCUCAAACUCAUCUCUGUUUUAAAUUCCAAAGAUGUAUAACUACUUAAACUAAGCUCAAGCUUAAUAUCAAACAUAGAAUUAAUAACACAUAUUAUAAAAGCAAAAAAACUAAGUGAGUGAACUUAAAAAUUAGCCAUGCAUAAUAUAUAAUUUAUCCCACAUGUGAAAAUAUUAGACUUAUCUCACAUCGCUUAUCUCAUCCAACAAACUUAAUUUUAAAUUAGACUCCUCAACCCUUUUCUCUAACAUGAUAUCCAAAAUAUAUACUUUGAGUGAUUCUCUCAGUAGUGAUCAUGUCUCUACUUAAGUCUCUAUCUCUCUUCUCAUCAACUCCAAGUUCAUCCUCUUAAUCUACUGCCUACCUUACCUUGUGCUAUGUGGCCAUUGCUUCUUAGCACAAGUAAUAAUUAAAAAAGUAUCUUAUUUUCAUAGACCAGAUAUGUGUGUUGAUGAUAUUAUCUAAGGUGUUUCAAAAAUUCGAAAUAUGGUUAAAUAAAACCCUAGAAUGUGGUUUGGUUCUAUAGUUUAGAUGGUUCAAUUCUCAUUUUAGAAAUAGAAAAUUGAGGAUGUUUGGCUUUGGUAUUUACUCUCUGCUUUAUAUAUUGAAUCUCCAUUAUUCUAUUUUGAGAUGUUUAAGAAUCCAUUUAUCUUUUUUUUCAUAUAUUAUUUAAGUAACAUUCAACCAAAUAAAAAAUUAAAUGUAAUAAUUACUAUGUUAAAAUUAAAAAUUCAGUAAAAAGUAAAUGUUAUGAUUGUGUUUCCUUAAAAAUUAAAUUGAAUUCUCCGAAAAAGACCUUCAAUAUAGGACUAAGUGAAUAUAUAUUAAAACUUGAAUGCUUCGUUACGUUUAUGCUAUGGAAUGUUUAUAUUAUCACCCUCUCGAUAACCAUAGUAAUAUUCUUAUCUCACAUUAUUCUAACGAUGAACACAAAAUAAUAGAGACAAGUUUAGAGACGAUGUAUAGAAUUAAAAGGGUGAGAAAAUUUGCAAUAUUUAGUUAAUUUUUUUAAAUUCAAUUUUACAAAGUUAUUUUUCAAAAUUUAUUUGAUUGACUAUUGAAAACACGCUCUCUAUAAUUUUUUUCAAGAAAAAACUCAAUUUUUAGCAUAAAUUAAAAUAUACCAUAUUUAAACUGUCAAAAACCAUUCCCACUGGAGGAUAAAUAAUAUAUGUUAUCUAACACGUUUUCUCUGUAAUGUUGUCAACAAUAAUAUACGAAAAGACAAAGUAUAUUUAAGAGCCCCCACUAUGCUUGUGUUUCUCUCUCGUCGCAAUAAUUACUUAUUAAAGUACGAGAAAAGACAAAGUACACGUGAGAUAGGAAAACGACUACUCUAACAAUUUAGGUCUCAUUUGGCUGGAGGAUUUGGAGGGGUAUAAUUUUUUUCCCGGAUAACUUUUUUCUCGGAAUGUUUGGCUAGCGGAUAUGCCCCCGGAUAAGUUAUGCCCCCGAAGGUAGAUAAUUUUUGGGUUGCCUAGACCCCUAACUAAAAAUUAUCCGGGGGAUAAGGGAUACCGCCCCCCUCUCUCCCCCGCCCCCCCCUGUCUCCUUUCUCGUCUCCUCUAUCUACAUCUCUCAGCCCUGCCCACUCUUUUUCCUCUAUCCCUCUUUUCUCUUUUCUUUUCUCUCAUUCCUUUUCUUCCUUCCUCCUAACCUACCUUAUCCACUCAUUCUAAAAAAGUAUCCAAAACAAAAGUUAAAAGUUAUCCCAUCCAAAGUUAUCACCUCUAAAAAGUUUCCUCCCCUAAAAAUUAUGCUGCCUCCCUUAUCCUCAGCCAAACGGGCCCUUGGGGUAAGGUAAAUGUUACGUAGUACGUACCCCCACCAAUUGAAAUAACACCGACACCCAUAGUUAUGAAAACGGACGAACCGGCAGGUUCAACCGGUUCAAUCGAAACUGGGCACUAAAUCGGUUCGGACACAACAUUUUAUCGCAUCGGAAAAAUGCAAGCCAACCGGAUUGAACCGGUUUGAAUCGGCCGAUUUUUUUUUUUUAACAGAAAAAAUAAAGUUUUAAUUUUUACAGUUUGACCCAAAAAUUUUAAUUAAAGUUUUACUUUUUACAAUGACCCCAAAAUUUGAAUUAAAUUAUUUUUUUAAUCGUUUUCUAAAUUAAUUUUUACUAUGAAUGGGUAAUAAAAAAAUUUUUUUUUUUUUUAUAAUAAAAAUAUAAUUUUAUUAUAUUAAUUAUAAAUCCGGUUGAACCGUGGUUGUUUGAACCCAAGGGAACCGUGUGAACCAGUAUUUUGACCGGUUCAAUGUCCGGUUCGGUUCUGAUAACUAUGCCGCGACACCCCUUAAUAUCUGAAAAGGGUAAUGCUAUGAGUACAUUCAAUUUACACCCUAAAUGCAUAUUUGAUGAGGUGGAGUAUUUAAAUUGGUUGGGUGUGGGGUCCACACAGUCCUUUCACCCCACACAUAGCCAAUCUAAAUACUUCAUCUCAUCAGGGGUGCAAGUUGGAUGUACCAUAGCAUUUCUCAUAUCUGAAAACGGUAAAUUUUGACUGACCUCGCAUGAUAUUUUUGAAUCAAAAUCCAACACGUGUACAUUAGUCCAAUUCCUAUUUAAUGGGCUAUUGGGGCCAUAGCCCCUGCAUGUUUCCUCUCGCUGCAUCCACAUGGAGACUGAUCUAAUGUCCCUUUCUUAUCUGUCCUUUCUUUCUUUUUUCAUUAAUUCAAAAGAGGUGAUCAGAUGUGGCGCACCCAUUGUAAUACCAUGGGAGCGUCCCUGAGGGCUCACUACAAUCACAUAAUUUUUUUCAAAUUAUGUCUUAUUUAUUUUUGAAAUCACUCAGCCACAAAAUAUGUGGCUGUGGUGAGGCCACGGAGGGCGCUCCCAUGAUAUUAUCACGGACACGCACCUAUCUGAUCACCACUCUUAAUUUAAUGCGAUGCUCGGAAAAGGUACAAUGGAGUCUUACACGAAUCUCGUAAGUGUUUGCAAUAGUUUAUCUCCUUUAAUUCAUAAACCAUAUAUAAUACUUUAUAUACCGAAGGCAUUAUGAAAUCUAAAAUAUUCCUAAAAUUAUAAUUUAGGUUCGAGUCAAAAAAUUCACAACUACGACCUACAAGCUGAUGAGAUACCAACAUACAUACACCACAAUCAUAUGGUCCUCACUGAUCUCUCUUCUCGACGCCUACACAUGCAUUAUAUGCGCAUAAAAUAUUUGAAGUGUUAAACUAAUCCCAUAUCAAAUAGUUUUGGGAAUACUCCACCUCAUGCUAAUGAUCUUUACUUUACAAUAACAAUUUGUACUACUACAAACAAUUCGCCUUGCUAGAUGCAUUAAAUUGAACUUUCAAGUUCCAAAUUUCUAUUUUGGGAAUUAAAAAGCUUUUUUAAUUGUGCUAUCUGAAAUGACCUUUGGUUUUAACACAUGUAAUAAUUAAAAAAUAUCUUAGCUUUAUCGCCAAAUAUGUGUGUUGAUGAUAUUAUCUAGGGGUGUCUGAAAAUUUAAAAAAAAAACGAUAAAUCAGAUCAAACCAAAUUGGAUCGAACCGUAUGGCUGGUGUGGUCCGGUUCUACGAUUUAGAUUGUUUCAAUACUAAUUUUAAAAAAUAUUAAAUUGGUCUAUAUAGUUCAGUCUUAGUUCUUUAUUUCAGAAUUGUGGUUCAAAAUAAACUGGGCCUGUUUUGUUAAGAACAGAGUUCUGUAACUGGAAUUGAUAUUGCUGAUAGCUGGAAGAAGAAAGAAGAAAAUAGAUUUCCCUAUUCGAGCUAGGGAUAAAGCUCUUAAAAGAACCAAGUAAAGACGGAAUUUUUCAUUCCCUUCUGAAUCAAUGUUACAUUCUUUAUAUUGCUGGACGUUUGACAAGAAUUCAAGGAAUGAUAUCUAACAGUUUUAAACACUAACUGAAUUAACCCAUUCUUGAUAUUGCCCAUGCUUCAGUUAUCUGUUAGCAUAGUUAUUUUGCCAUGCUUUACAUCAUGUUCCUGUCUUUUAAGUCUUAAUCUUUCAUUCAUUCUGGCCUUUUGAUACUCCUUCUUGUUCUAUCAUCCGCUACAAAGCUGUUCUCUCCUACUACCACUGCAUUCGUAACAUGUUUACGUACAUACAUAGCGUGUAUGUGUAAGUUAAACCCAUCCUAACCUUCCUAAUUUAUUUUAUAUUGAGGUAUCAUUACUUAUUGUUUGAUGUUGUAUGAAUUUUUUGGGUUUUCGAUUUUUGCGGUUGUUAUGCUUAGUUUUUUCUAAAGUGGAAUGUUGUCAUGUUAUUUUAAAAUGUAGAUAGUUUAGAAUUUAAAUGUCAGGUAUAAAAUUUAGGAUGUUUGCCUGUGGCAUUUAUUCCAUUCGUCUCAUAGAACUUUUGUUAUUUUAGUUUGGAAUGUCCGAAAAUGUAUAUUCAAUUCGACAGUUAAUAACGAAAAUAUACAACUUUUCUCUUUUAGCCUUUUUUUUAUAAAUUAUUUAAGUAAUAUCAACCAAAACAAAAAAUUAAAUGUAAUAAUUACAGGGAUAAAAUUGGAGAGUCAAUAAAAAUUA
rnacentral:lncRNA from 1 species